GACGAACGCUGGCGGCGUGCUUAACACAUGCAAGUCGAACGAAGAGCGACGGAAGCUUGCUUCUAUCAAUCUUAGUGGCGAACGGGUGAGUAACGCGUAAUCAACCUGCCCUUCAGAGGGGGACAACAGUUGGAAACGACUGCUAAUACCGCAUACGAUCUAACCUCGGCAUCGAGGAUAGAUGAAAGGUGGCCUCUACAUGUAAGCUAUCACUGAAGGAGGGGAUUGCGUCUGAUUAGCUAGUUGGAGGGGUAACGGCCCACCAAGGCGAUGAUCAGUAGCCGGUCUGAGAGGAUGAACGGCCACAUUGGGACUGAGACACGGCCCAGACUCCUACGGGAGGCAGCAGUGGGGAAUCUUCCGCAAUGGACGAAAGUCUGACGGAGCAACGCCGCGUGAGUGAUGACGGCCUUCGGGUUGUAAAGCUCUGUUAAUCGGGACGAAAGGUCUUCUUGCGAAUAGUGAGAAGGAUUGACGGUACCGGAAUAGAAAGCCACGGCUAACUACGUG
rnacentral:rRNA from 1 species